UCUCCCUCUCCCCCUCUCUCCUUCUCUCUCCCCCUCUCCCCACCCCUCCCUCCCUCUCUCUCUCUCUCCAUCUCUCCCCCUUUCUCCCUCUCUCCCUCUCUUGGGCAGGGAUGGGGGCACAGGAAGGGUGUGGCGUGGAGAGAGACGCUGAGGCUGGGUGUCCAUCACAGGAGCAAAGAGCGCCGGGGUGGACACGUGGAGAUCCUCCCACUGGAAAACUGGAACACAAAGCCACGUGCACUAGGAUUUCCCACUGUGCACUCAGACAAGCUCUGAAGGAUGGGACAGCACCCAGGAGGGAGGCACCUGUCCUCUGAAGAGACGGGCUCCUGGGAUCACCGCCACUUUGGUCUCCCAUGGCCACGUAGACCCUGAGCAGGCGCUCGGUCAGUGGAAGUGGAAUGAAUGGGCGGCUUCUCCCGAAGGCAGAUAAGAGCCUCCCCACCUGACAACUUGCCCUGAGGCCCCCUGUCCACUCCCAACCCCCAGCCUUUCCCAGGGGAAAACCCUUCCAGCUGGAGCACCCAGGAGCCGCAGGAGACCAGGUAGGAAUCUUUCCCCCCACUGAUUCUGUUCACACCUCUAGCUUAAUGAGCCCAAGCUGCUGGGGGGGUCUGGGUCACACCUUUUCACUUGAUUAAAGCAAAACACAGAUGCGCUGGCAGCAGCGUCCUCGUGAGCACGGAGCUUCCCGCCUCACAGGGACGGCUGCUACACGAAGAAGGGGCUCAAGGGCACCGAGUCAGCCCCGGGAGCACUUAUGCAGGACGUGCCAGUCAGAGCUGGGGUUAGGGUCAGGCAGCACUUGGGUUCCGCCCUGCCUUUGGCCACCAGCCUCCACGACGGAGGUCCAGCCCCACUGUGCCCGCCUCCUGUGUCCGUGCCCACGUACAGUCCCAUCCCAGCUGAAGAGGGCUGACCUGGGCAGGAAUGUGAGUGACUCUGGGCAAGGUCAUGACCAGCACUGAGCUUCCUCCUGCCUCUCUGAUCGCUCACCCCAGGGGGAGCCACGUUGUGAGGGCACUCAGGCAGCCCCGGGGAGAGGCCACACGGGAGGAGCUGAGGCCUCCUGCCCACAGCCAGGGGAGGAGCCUCCUUGGAGGCGGAUGGAGCCUUCAGGGGAGACGGGAGCCCUGCCGACACUCCAGCUGCAGCCUCACUCGAGUCCCAGCCAGGGCCGCCAGGCCGAGCCACUUCUGGGUUCGGGACCCACAGAAACUGACACCAUAAGUGUGUUGUUGUAGCUGCUAAGUUUGGAGUGAUUUGAACAUAGAAACAGAGAGCCAAUACCCUGCUUCUGCUAGCUACAGUUGUGUGAUAGCAGGCAGAUUAAUCUCUCUGAGUGUCAGCUUCUCACCCGAGAAUAAGAAUGCCUACCUCCAAUGGAUGUUAUAAAAAUUAAAUAAGCUCUUGGCAUUGGGCCUGGGAUACAGCAAAUGCUGAAAAACUAGCUGUCAUCAUUAUUAUGAAAUAUUUACAUAAAUAUAUCACAAGAUGCGAAGGGCUCAGGAAGACCUCACUUCAAACAGGUGGGUUCAAGGAAGGCUUUGUGGAAAAGUAAUGUUUGACUUGGUCCUUGAAGGAGAGCAGGAUCUGGACCCGAGGAGAUGGCAGGAAGGGCAGGAGGGUCCCCGUGGGCAGUUCACGCUCAGCGUAAACUCGGGCAACAGGAGGUGAGACUGUGAAGGCUGGCUGGGGUCAGAUUGGGCUGCUGGCAUUAAGGGGUCUGGAAUUUACAUGCUGGGAAGUGAAGCCACCGGUUCUGAGUCAGUGGAAGUGGAACGAAUGGGACGGCUUCUCCCGAAGGCAGAUAAGAGCCUCCCCAUCUGACAACUUGCCCUGAGGCCCCCUGUCCACAGGAGCGAGAACCCCAGGCACGGCCCCCCAGCACACAGGAGCCCUUCGGAAGAGGUGCUGAAUGAAUUCAAUUCUCCCCGACCCCCAAAGCAUCCCCUCUUGGAUUCCGGCAGGAGCAAAUAUUAAAGAGGGUGCCUGGGGCUGGAAGGAACGGUUGUCAGGCUGCUGCUGCAACCGAUCCGUUUUCUCCCAAGCCCAGGAUCCAGCUGUGUCUGCUGUCUGACAAACGUUUCCACUCGACCUCCCUUCCUCCCUCUGAACCCUGAGUUUGUUCAUGUUCCCAACUUCCCCGCGAGCCAUGUGGGGAAGAGAGUUGUGUCCCAGACCUCCAGCCCCAGAGGGCAGAUCACGAUUGGCCUAAACCAGCCACAGGGUCUCAUCCCCUUGCCAGAGAGUCUGGCCCAAGGAUGUGAGGGCAAGUCUGGGCAGGUUCUCCUCACGCAGGAAACAAGAUGCGUUGGAAGAAGCAGCCCCUCUUUUUUCCUGGUGGACGCUGUGUCUGUGUGUGAUGUCUGGAAUUGCCACUGCCAUCUUGUAACCAUGAGGAGUGCCGUCCUGAGAGUGAGCCAGUGGGAAGCCAG